GCUCCUCAGACACAGACAAUAAAUACUGAAAAGCUUGAAGAUAAAUUCGGACGAAAAGGCAUAAAAUUCUCGGAAUCAAACAAC
rnacentral:sRNA from 1 species